UUCGCAAUGCCCGAAAGGGUGACGAAGCGACGCCGCGUGCGGGAAGAAGGCCUUCGGGUUGUAAACCGCUGUCGGGAGUUAAGAAAUGUAAGGAUGUUAAUAGCAUCUUUGCUUGACUAAGGCUCCGGAGGAAGCCACGGCUAACUCUGUGCCAGCAGCCGCGGUAAUACAGAGGCGGCAAGCGUUGUUCGGAAUUAUUGGGCGUAAAGAGCACGUAGGCGGCUAUGUAAGUCGGUUGUGAAAGCCUUCCGCUCAACGGGAGAACAGCAUCCGAUACUGCAUGGCUUGAGUGCGGGAGGGGAGAGUGGAACUUCUGGUGGAGCGGUGAAAUGCGUAGAUAUCAGAAGGAACGCCGGCGGCGAAAGCGGGUCUCUGGCCCAUAACUGACGCUGAGUGUGCGAAAGCUAGGGGAGCAAACGGGAUUAGAUACCCCGGUAGUCCUAGCCGUAAACGAUGGGCACUAAGUAGAGGGGUUUU
rnacentral:rRNA from 1 species